rnacentral:rRNA from 1 species
GAUGAACGCUGGCGGCGUGCCUAAUACAUGCAAGUCGAGCGAACAGACGAGGAGCUUGCUCCUCUGACGUUAGCGGCGGACGGGUGAGUAACACGUGGAUAACCUACCUAUAAGACUGGGAUAACUUCGGGAAACCGGAGCUAAUACCGGAUAAUAUAUUGAACCGCAUGGUUCAAUAGUGAAAGACGGUUUUGCUGUCACUUAUAGAUGGAUCCGCGCCGCAUUAGCUAGUUGGUAAGGUAACGGCUUACCAAGGCAACGAUGCGUAGCCGACCUGAGAGGGUGAUCGGCCACACUGGAACUGAGACACGGUCCAGACUCCUACGGGAGGCAGCAGUAGGGAAUCUUCCGCAAUGGGCGAAAGCCUGACGGAGCAACGCCGCGUGAGUGAAGAAGGUCUUCGGAUCGUAAAACUCUGUUAUUAGGGAAGAGCAAAUGUGUAAGUAACUAUGCACGUCUUGACGGUACCUAAUCAGAAAGCCACGGCUAACUACGUG